rnacentral:rRNA from 1 species
UACGUAGGUGGCGAGCGUUAUCCGGAAUGAUUGGGCGUAAAGGGUGCGUAGGUAGCAGAUCAAGUCUGGAGUAAAAGGUAUGGGCUCAACCCGUACUGGCUCUGGAAACUGAUCAGCUAGAGAACAGAAGAGGACGGCGGAACUCCAUGUGUAGCGGUAAAAUGCGUAGAUAUAUGGAAGAACACCGGUGGCGAAGGCGGCCGUCUGGUCUGGAUUCUGACACUGAAGCACGAAAGCGUGGGGAGCAAAUAGG